GCCUCUCCCCGCCAACCCUGCCCGGAGCGCCAGCGAUGCCCUCUGCCCGCGGGGACCCGAGCCUCGCGCGCCCUCCGCCCUCCCUACCCUGGCCCCUGUACCCAUCACACCUGGGGCACUGCCGUCCGCCGAGCUUGGGCGCGCGGCGGCGAGAAGGCACUGGAGGAGGAGAAGCAGCCGGGGCGUAGGCGCCCUCGCCCCCAGCAGGCCGGGGAGGGCGCGCAUGGCGCCAGAGGGUCCGCCUCAGUUCUCGUGGAGACUGCUCCCUCAGCUCGCCGCCGCGGGUGUCCGGAAUCCCUCCGCACACUCGCAGGUGGCCCGGCACCCGCAGCCAGUGCCGCGGGCAGGACGCUGAAGAAAAGGCGGAAUGGGAGGGGCCCGGCCGCCUUGCCCUACUCCCCGAGACGCUCUUACCGCGCCCGGCCUUCCAUCAGUUAUGCAGCCCUCAGCCCGCUGCUGGCGUUCCCGGAUGUGCGGUGCUACUCCCGGCUGCAGCCUCUCCGGCCUCCGCCCUCUAGGCUCUAGCAGGUCGGGAGAGAGCUUGGGCAGGUGAUGUGUAGCCCAUCGCGUGGGGAGAGGUUGAAACUAUCCCUGCAGACUGGCCUUUGCACUUCAUCUGAGGCAGAUUUCACUAAUUUUCGUUGAUGGGACAGAUGAGAGACACUUUCCUCCUCCCCGACCCCGGACAUCUUUGGGCUUUCUUAUGAGGGAGGCUUAUUUUUGCGCAGGUGUAAGGUUUUAUCCAGCUGCCAGACAACUUGUACUGAUCUUUCUUUGCUUUGCCUACUAAUCACACACACCCUCUCUUCUAGCCUGUGAAGACUUAACUGAUUUUCUACGGAUGAAGGUUUCAGUGUCCCAAGGCCCCAUACCGUAUCUGAUUUUACUUUAUUUUUGUUUGUUAAGCCUAACAGCUUCUGAGGAGCCACGUAGAGCUCAAGAAGCAAAAGCUACUGAGAGUAGAUGCUAUGUAAACUGCACAAGACGUUGACCUUUGUUAAAUCCGAACACUGUUUAAGAUAAUGCUAUCUCUUACCCACGAGGCUGUAGCUUGGAAUAUUCAGUGCUCUGAACCAAAUUAAAUAAAUUAGUGCUUUAUCCGGGAGGGGAGGAGAAAUCUAUGUUGUAACAUUGAAACACAUUGAUUUGAUUUCUCUCCAGGAUGUUAUAACGCAUUAAAAGAUAUUUUAAAUAUUUUUCACGAGCUUUGUUUCCUCUCCCUUUAUUUUUUGAAGUUCAGCUUUCACAUUCGUAAAUUCAAAAUAUAUCAGCGUUAAAAAAAAAAAAAAGGAUUGGAAAUAACAUAAGAGACAAAUUUUGAAAAUUGAACUAUUUAACAAAACCUAUGCUUAUUCCAGGCAGGAAUGGUUAAUUUGUAAUUGGUACGUAUUACUAAAACAUGUCCGUUUUUGUUUUAGUAUUAUAUGCGCAAAACUUUGGAAACAGAUGUAGAUUCUUCAAGUUGGCAGUGAGAGAAUAUGAAUAAUACAAUUCAUUCAACCAUAUUAUCUACCAGGUGCCAGUCAUUGUGUUCAAAAAAGGCUAGAUAGGCACGCAUGCACGAAUGCACGCAUGCACACAUGUACACACACACACACACAAAUUAGACAACUAUUUAUCUGUGAAUAACAAAUCUUAGAAAAGCCUCUUCUCAGAAAAUUAUGGUCACAAUGAUUAAAAUCUUUUGAAUGAAACUUUAAAAGAUGCCUUCAAGGACUAAAUUGUAUACACUGUUGACCCUCUGAGGGCAUUGACUGGGCUUGCUAAACCCAAAUUGCCUAAUCAAUGGCUGCUACAUCACGCCUCUUUCUUUCUACCCUGCAUCUGGUCUCAGGACUAACUGCACACGUUUCCCUAUAAUUAGGUAGAGUGUCAACACUAAGCACUUCUCACCUCAAACUAAACUCUGACUGACUUUUCCCAGUUAGUCUCAUAAAAUCCUUAGACACAGUAUUCACCCGUCUUCAAAUGAGCUGAACUUACUUAAACAUUUUUUUUUCAGUUGAAUCAGCCUAUUUAUGACAAGAAAAACUUACUUGCCCAAGUUGAUGCUGAUCCCCACUGUUGCUUUUGCUGUUAGAACAAAAAAGUUGAGAAAGAAAUAUAAUUCUCAUUUUGCUAAGCAUUUUGAAAGUCUUUUCAUCAUUGUUCCUGUUCUAUAUUUAGAUAUUUGAUAUUUCCAGCCUUAUGCACAUUCCACUUUUUCAAAUGCUCCAUAUCCUUUAAAACCAGCUUAUCAACUGCCUUCCCUAUAUAACUUUUUCUGACCUUUCUGGUCCAAACUGACCUUUUCCUCCUUGGUGAAAUAAAUAUUGCAACAAGCACUUUGAUACUCUCAUCAUCAUGAAGUGUAUAAAGGGGGAAUAAGGGUCCUUUGUUUUCUCCCCUUGAGUUGGGUGGGCUCUGUGACUCCCCUAACCUACUGAAUAUUGCUGAAGAGAUAUUGUGUGGGCUGGCCAGGCCUGGUGGCUCGCGCCUGUAAUUCCAGCACUUUGGGAGGCUGAGGCAGGCAGAUGACAAGGUCAGGAGCUCGAAACCAGCCUGGCCAAUAUGGUGAAACCCCAUCUCUACUAAAAAUGCAAAAAAAAAAAAAAAAAAAAAUUAACUGGGCGUGGUGGCACAUGCCUAUAAUCCCAGCUACUUGGGAAGCUAAGGCAGGAGAAUUGCUUGAACCCAGGAGGCAGAGCUUGCGGUAAGCCAAGAUUGCGCCACUGCACUCCAGCCAGGGCAACAGAGCAAAACUCUGUCUCAAAAAAAAAAAGAGAGAGCGAGAGAGAAAGAUUGUGUGGGCUUUCUGUUCCAGACCACAAGAGCUUCCACUUCCUUUCUCUUGGAGACCUUGCUCAUAGAAGACAGCUGCCUGGUGAAAAGUACUACGGUAUUAUCCUGAGACUGCCACACUGUGAGAAACCCAAACACCAUGGAGGACCGCGUAAAAAUAAAGUCAGAUCAAGUAAAAAAGGAAUAUGCAGGUUAUCAUACAUACAAAAGAAUAGUUCACAAACCGGAAGACUUCAAAUCAAAAGUAGUAAGAAACUUGACAUGAGAGUUACAGUGCAGCUUAUAAAGCAUCAAUGAGGAAGUGCAUUGACCUCUAUUGUGACUGGCUGUUAAAAACUUAUAUUCCUUUUUGGGCAAGUAGAGCUGUAUAAGCUUAUUUGUCUGUAACAAAUUGGUUCAAUUUCAUCAUACUAACAAGAAAGGAAAGCUUAACUUUUGUUAAUGGUUAGAAAUUGCAUUUCAGGGAAGUCAGGAUAGCUUAAAUUUUGGUCAUGUGGCUAUGAGUGGUUAACCUAAGGAUAUACUGUGGCCUCCAUUUUGAUUAUACUUUAACAAAUCCCCCAUACAGGACCUUAAAUCAUUGUUGAUUGUUUCUUUUGCUGUGCAGAAGCUUUUUAGCCUGAUUCAAUCCCAUUUGUCUAUUCUUUCUUGGUUGCCUGUGCUUUAGAGGUCUUACACAAAGUAUCAUUGCUCAGACUAAUGUCCUGGAACACUUCCCCAAAGUUUUCAUCUAAUUGUUUCAUAGUCAUAGUUCUAGGUCUUAGAUUUAAACCUUUAAUCCAUUUUAAUUUUAUUUUUGUGUAUGGUGAGAUAUAGGGGUCUGGUUUCAUCCUUCUACAUGUAAUUACCUAGUUUUCCCAGCACCAUUUAUUAAACAGACACUCCUUUUCCUGUUGUAUGCUCUUGGUGCUGUUGUUGAAGAUGAGUUGGCUGUCAAUGCAUCGGUUUAUUUCUGGGUUCUCUAUUCUGUUUCAUUGGUCUAUGUGUCUGUUUUCUUGCCAGUUCUAGGCUAAUUGGGUUACUAUAGCUUUUUUUUUAAUGUUUAAUUUUUGUUUUAAGUUCCAGGGUACAUGUGCAGAAUAUGCAGGUUUCUUACGUAGGUAAGUAUGUGCCAUGGUGGUUUGCUUCACAGAUCAUCCCAUCACCUAGGUAUUAAGCCCAGCAUGCAUUAGCUAUUCUUCCUGAUGCUCUCCUUCCUGCAACACCCCACCCCCAACAGGCCCAGUAUGUGUCCAUGCGGUCUCAUCAUUAAGCUCAUUCAGCUGAGAAUAUGUGGUGUUUGGUUUUCUGUCCCUGCAUUAGUUUGCUGAGGAUAACAGCUUCCAGCUCCGUCUAUGUCCCUACAAAGGAUAUGAUCUUGUUCCUUUUUAUGGCUGCAUAGUAUUCCAUGGUGUAUAUGUACAACAUUUUCUUUAUCCAGUCUACCAUUGAUGGGCAUUUGGAUAGAUUCCAUGUCUUUACUAUUGUGAAUAGUUGGUUAUUAUAUCUUUGCAGUAAAUUUUGAAGCCAGGUAAUGUGAUGCCUCCAGCCUUUUUUUUUUUUUUUUCUUUUUUUGCU
rnacentral:lncRNA from 1 species